rnacentral:rRNA from 1 species
CCUACGGGUGGCAGCAGUGGGGAAUAUUGGACAAUGGGCGAAAGCCUGAUCCAGCCAUGCCGCGUGUGUGAAGAAGGCCUUCGGGUUGUAAAGCACUUUCAGUGGGGAAGAAAGCCUUGGGGCUAAUACCCUCGAGGAAGGACAUCACCCACAGAAGAAGCACCGGCUAACUCCGUGCCAGCAGCCGCGGUAAUACGGAGGGUGCGAGCGUUAAUCGGAAUUACUGGGCGUAAAGCGCGCGUAGGCGGUCUGAUAAGCCGGUUGUGAAAGCCCCGGGCUCGACCUGGGAACGGCAUCCGGAACUGUCAGGCUAGAGUGCAGGAGAGGAAGGUAGAAUUCCCGGUGUAGCGGUGAAAUGCGUAGAGAUCGGGAGGAAUACCAGUGGCGAAGGCGGCCUUCUGGACUGACACUGACGCUGAGGUGCGAAAGCGUGGGUAGCAAACAGGAUUAGAUACCCUUGUAGUC